UGGGAUCGCGCAGGCAAGGCGGAAACGCGCGCUGCGAACAAAAUACUCACUCACAUGCGUUUUGGUUUAUUACUCAGCUUAAGUGCUUAAUUUAUCCCUAAAAUUGUGGUAUUUUCCUCUAAAACUCAUCCUACUGUCAUGGGUCAAAAGAGGCAACGAUGAGAAAGAGCACAAGUGAGGGGGUACGCCCGGUAGCACCUCGGAUUCCAUGCUAGUGGUACGGCACCGAGUUCCACGGAGGGGCCAGGUGGGCGGAACCGUAGCCGGAAGCGCCUGCUCUUCUGGUGAUUAGGGAGACUGUAAAAGAGUGGCACUGUAAACCUUCCCAGAAUGCACUUUCUGUAAG